UGUCCCUACGGGACGCAGCAGUGGGGGAUAUUGCACAAUGGGGGAAACCCUGAUGCAGCGACGCCGCGUGAGUGAAGAAGUAUUUCGGUACGUAAAGCUCUAUCAGCAGGGAAGAAUAAUGACGGUACCUGACUAAGAAGCCCCGGCUAACUACGUGCCAGCAGCCGCGGUAAUACGUAGGGGGCAAGAGUUAUCCGGAUUUACUGGGUGUAAAGGGAGCGUAGACGGCUGUGCAAGUCUGAAGUGAAAUGCUG
rnacentral:rRNA from 1 species